GACGAACGCUGGCGGCGUGCCUAACACAUGCAAGUCGAACGGAAAGGCCCUGCUUUUGUGGGGUGCUCGAGUGGCGAACGGGUGAGUAACACGUGAGUAACCUGCCCUUGACUUUGGGAUAACUUCAGGAAACUGGGGCUAAUACCGGAUAGGAGCUCCUGCUGCAUGGUGGGGGUUGGAAAGUUUCGGCGGUUGGGGAUGGACUCGCGGCUUAUCAGCUUGUUGGUGGGGUAGUGGCUUACCAAGGCUUUGACGGGUAGCCGGCCUGGGAGGGUGACCGGCCACAAUGGGCCUAAGGGAGGGACCAGUGUCCAACGGGAGGCAGCGGUGGGAAGUAUUGCACAGUGAGCGGGAGCCUGUGACGACGGCCCCGGGGGCGGGAAGCCGGCCUUCGGGGUAUGAACCGCUUUCGCCUGAGACGAAGCGUGAGUGACGGUAAUGGAUAAAUAAGCACCGGCUAACUACGUG
rnacentral:rRNA from 1 species